rnacentral:rRNA from 1 species
UCCAGUAACAUUACUGAAGGGGCCACACCCGUUCCCAUUCCGAACACGGCCGUUAAACUCUUCUAGGUCGAUGGUACUGCGGUCGCAAGGCCGUGGGAGAGUAGAACGUUGCUGGGC